CAGCCGUAAACAAUGUGCGUUAGGUGUGUCGGUAACCACGUGUUACUGAUGCGCCGAAGAGAAAUCGUGAAACGCACCACCUGGGAAGUACGGUCGCAAGGCUGAAACUUAAAGGAAUUGGCGGGGGAGCACCACAACAGGUGGAGCCUGCGGUUUAAUUGGAUUCAACGCCGGACAUCUCACCGGAUAAGACAGCUGAAUGAUAGUCGGGAUGAAGACUCUACUUGACUAGCUGAGAGGUGGUGCAUGGCGUGUGACUUGU
rnacentral:rRNA from 1 species